CUGGCUGAGAUUAGCUACCCCGGGUCAGGGCUGAGUCUCCUUUCUCCCUGAGCAUUGCCGGACCGUUGAUGCCCGAACCAGAGAAAAGACUUUCUGUUCUGGUCUGGGUCCCCUCCUCUGCCGACCUCACCACCGCCUCUCCAGUAAUCCACCCGCAGGACAGGAAAAUAGCGGGUUAAUGGUCACUUCCCGUGGGCGGCGUGACUGCCCGCACGACGUGCAGUUUCCCGAGGGUCCAGAGAAGACAAACCCUUCGCGUUUUCCUCUCAGCCGCCCCUAAGCCCACCCCGCGGCGGGCCUCGUCUCUCUGUCGCCCCCGUCCGAGGAGGAGGAGGACGCCAGGCCCGGGGCGGGGACCGGGGGCGACGCGGUGGCUCAGCCAGCGGCCGGAACCCGGAAGGUGAGGCCGUCUCAGGUCCCCGCCUCUGGCUUCCCGGUCCCGCCUCCGGCUUCCCGGUCCCGCCUCCGCCCUCCGUCAAGCGGCCCAGGCCUCGCCGCGGGGCCCUGUCCCUACUGGGCUGCAAGGCUCCACCACGAGAGCCCUCACCAGAUCAGAAUCACACUGAAAAUUGAAACAUUGAUACCCUUAAGGGAUAAACUUAACCUUCCUGUCUCUGGAACAAAACAAGAAUAUCCACAAGUGGGACAUUCUCUGUGGAAGAAUAGACAUUAAGUGCAUAUUUGUUGAGAAAUUGAGACCCCCAUAUGAGUCAGUGUCUUUUCAUACCAUGGAAACUUCGAAAACCAAAGAGUGUACCAGAUCAGGCUUGUGCUUUCACAGCCUGGACUUGCUGCGGUGCUUUCUGCUCCACUCAAGGGUGGCAAACAUGUACUGUGCCUAAUCCAUAUUAUUUUAGGAAGAAAACCAGUUGGAAAAAAAUGAAGUUCCUUAUCUUCACGUGUGUUGGUGUUGUUCACCUUUUGUCCCUGGGCUUCGGGAAAACAAUAUACAAGAAUGACAUCUCUCAGAGAACUUUUCAAGAAGUAAAAGAAGAAAUAGCCAGCUAUCAAGAUGUUGCUAAAGCAAUUAUCAACCUUGCUGUUCAUGGUAAAUACCAGAACCGGUCCUAUGAGCGAUUGGCACUUUUGGUUGACACUGUUGGGCCCAGACUGAGUGGCUCCAAGAACCUAGAAAAAGCCAUCCAAAUCAUGUACAAAAACCUGCAAGAAGAUGGGCUGGAGAAUGUCCACCUGGAGCCAGUCAGAAUCCCCCACUGGGAAAGGGGAGAAGAGUCUGCUGUCAUGCUGGCCCCGAGAAUUCACAGGAUGGCCAUUUUGGGCCUUGGCAGCAGCAUUGGGACUCCCCCAGAAGGCAUUACAGCAGAAGUUCUGGUGGUGACCUCUUUUGAUGAACUGCAGAGAAGGGCCUCAGAAGCAAGAGGAAAGAUUGUUGUUUAUAACCAGCCUUACAUCAGCUACUCGAUGACAGUGCAGUACCGUGUCCGGGGGGCAGUGGAGGCUGCCAAGGUGGGGGCUUCGGCAUCCCUCAUCCGAUCAGUGGCUUCCUUCUCCAUCUACAGUCCUCACACAGGCAUGCAGAAAUACCAGGCUGGUGUGCCCAAGAUCCCCACAGCCUGUAUUACAGUGGAAGAUGCGGAAAUGCUGUCAAGAAUGGCUCUUCAUGGGAACAAAAUUGUCAUUCAGCUGAAAAUGGCAGCAAAGAGUUACCCAGACACGGAUUCCUUCAAUACUGUAGCAGAGAUCACUGGGAGCAAGUAUCCAGAGCAGGUUGUGCUGGUGAGUGGACAUCUGGACAGCUGGGACGUCGGGCAGGGUGCCAUGGAUGAUGGUGGUGGAGCCUUUAUAUCAUGGGAAGCACUCUCACUUAUUAAAGAUCUUGGGCUGCGUCCAAAGCGAACUCUACGCCUUGUCCUGUGGACUGCAGAGGAGCAAGGUGGAGUUGGUGCCUUCCAGUAUUAUCAGUUACACAAGAUAAAUAUUUCCAACUACAGUCUGGUGAUGGAGUCUGACCAGGGCACCUUCUUACCCACUGGGCUGCAAUUUACUGGCAGUGAGAAGGCCAGGGCCAUCAUGGAGGAGGUCAUGAGCCUGCUGCAGCCCCUCAACAUCACCCAGGUCUUCAGGGAUGCAGAGGGGACAGACAUUAACUUCUGGAUCCAAGCUGGAGUGCCUGGGCUGGCACUGGGAGCCAGCACAGUGUGACUCCUGACUCGUCACCCACAUUCAGACUCAGAAAACAGGUGACAUCUCAGGUCCUGCUUUUGAGAGAAGACUGUCCGAAUGCUGAGAAGAUACACACUGUUUCAGAGUGGGAAGAAGAUUUAAGGAACAAAAGUACUCAAGAAGAAAAGGUCUGCUUUUUUGCCUACUCAAGAAGUUUCUAAAUGAUAAGACUGGUGAGUGAAGAGAAGCCAUGAAGAUCAGAGCAAAGUGGAUGUGUGUUGAAACUAUAUAGUUCUGGAUUACACUGCAAUCCUACCAUUUGCUCAGCAUGUAGACAAGGUAAGUAACCCCUCUGAGCCUCAGUUUACUCAAUUGUAAACAGCAGGGCUGCACAGAAAGAACUGGAUAAUAAUAAUCCAAGAUGCUGGCAUACAGAAGUCUAUUGCCCUUGAACUUCAUGUGGACCUGCUUCUAGCCAUGCAGUGAUUGCCCCAGCAACUGACUGCAGAGAGCAAUGUGAAGAGGCAUGAAGCAAGUGAAGAAAUCUUGACCCUAAAUUUGGACUAUAAAACCUCAAUAUCAUAUCUAAAAACUUUCAAAAUUCAGGUCAGUUUUCCUUCUUUGUUGUUGCUGUUGUUGUUGUUUAAACCUCUCAACUGUUUAUCUAGUUCUAUCUUCCAGACACCAUGCUGAACACUUAACUAAAUUGUCUACUGGGGUCUUCUCAAUAGCCCUUUAUGGUCAGUGUCAGCCUCUCUCUUUUAUGGGUGAAUUAUCUGAGUCUGGGAGAGGUUAAACAAUAUGUCCAAGGUCACUAAGCUAAAACAUGUGUAGUUAAGAUUUUAAAUUGGGUUUUUCUGACUUCAAGAGCCUUUGGUCCUACCCAUUGCUUUCUAUUACCUUACAUAUGAUUUCCUUCUAAGAAAUGAAAAGCAAAAGCACACACACGUGUGUGUGUGUGUGAGUGUGUGUUUGUAGUAAAAUAAAGUCUGUGCUCUAGCCUUUCA